ensembl:lincRNA
AAAAUAACUAAAUUUUCAUGUAUUCAUUUAUUUUUGGUUGGUAAAUCAUUGCAAACUAAAGAAAAAAGCCACAUUUUGUAGAGGAAGCUAACAUGCUAACUGGUUUUACCUUAGCACACCAUCAGAAUGCAAAAAUAUAUGAGGAUACUUAGUUUUGCUUUAAGAGUUUUAGUGUUAUCUUUAAUGCAUUUUAUGUUUUUCAGCACUCUCUACCAGUGCAAGCACUCCAAUAACAUCCCAUACAAGUAAUGUAUUAUUAUGUGCAGGUCCCUAAAUAUUUUAUACAGAUGGUUUUAUCGUUAUAUUGUAGAUAUAUUGUAAAAAUCAACAUUUUAAUAUUCUAAGUAUUAAGCAUCAGCACAUGAGAACCUUUGUAAAACUAUUAAGAAAUCUUAAUAAAUGUUUGACUCUUGUUAUGUUUUUUUUUUUUUUUUUUUUUUUUUUUUAUCAAAAUGUCCCAGCAGCCACUGACUCUUCUUCAACUGGAUCUCAAACAUCCACUCCUUCAAGUGAAUAUUUUUCUCCAUGGAUUAUUUUGUAAACAUUUUAAUUAAAAAUAUAUAUAUAUUAGAAGUUAUACAAUGGCUGUCACACUUGCUCCUCAUUAGUUUUAUCAUUCCAAAAACAUGUGUCCAGUUGCAUUAGAUUUUAUAGCUUAAAAAAGGUGAUAGAGAAGCUAAAAUGCUGAUGAUUGUUUUUAAUCUUAGCACAAUGCCUAAGUACACAAGUAUUUGAGAAUAACAUUUUACUCAUUCUUUGUUUUGUUUAUUUUAUUUUUAAGUAAUUUUCUGCUUUUUGGAAAAGCCACCUUUAUUCAUAGCAAUAAUUGCUGUAUGAUCAUUUAGAAAACUUAUCUGAAUUGAUAUAUUAUUUUAUUAAAAUUUCUUGCAAUAGAUAAUUUGAUUUCAUUUUUUCCCCUCUAAAAUAAAAGCCACUGUCACGACACAUACUUCUUCAACUGAGUCUCCAACUUCAACUUCUUCAAGCACUGACACGACAGACUACACUUCAACUGACUCUCAAACAUCAACUCCAACAUCAACAUCCCAUACCAUUACAAGUUCUCAUACAACUCAAUCAACAGGACCUACAUCCACUGAAACAACAGACUCUUCAACCCAAACAUCAGGCUCAACCCAAACAUCAGGUUCAACCCAAACAUCAGGCUCAACUCAAACAUCAGGCUCAACCCAAACAUCAAGCUCAACCCAAACAUCAGGCUCAACUCAAACAUCAGGCUCAACCCAAACAUCAAGCUCAACCCAAACAUCAAGCUCAACCCAAACAUCAGGCUCAACCCAAACAUCAGGCUCAAUUCAAACAUCAGGUUCAGCUCAAACAUCAGGCUCAACUCAAACAUCAGGUUCAACUCAAACAUCAGGCUCAACUCAAACAUCAGGCUCAACUCAAACAUCAGGCUCAACUCAAACAUCAGGUUCAACUCAAACAUCAGUGUCUUCGAGUAAGUGUUUAUAUCAAUGUAUUACAUAAAAUUACCAUUAGAUACCUGGAACUUAAAGAAAUCGGAUGGAUAGAUGAAUGGAUGGAUGGAUGGAUGGAUGGAUGGAUGGAUUCUGAUACUGUUUCUGUUAUCAUAUGAAGAAAUUUUUAGAAACUUGCGAUUCUAUGUCUUUAAUUUUCAAAUUUCCCAGCAGCCACUGCCACAACAUACACUCCUCCAAUGCCAUCAUCUGCUUCUUCAAGUGAGUAUUUUUAUUUUCUGAAUAUUGUGUGACCAUUUUAAUUGUACAUUUAUUUAUUUAUUUAUUUAUUUAUUUAUUUAGGUUUUAAUGCCAUAUCAGCAGCAUUGGCUAUAUUCA